GUAGGUGAACCUGCGGAAGGAUCAUUAAUGAAUUUCAAUGGAGUUGUAGCUGGCUCUAACAAGGGCAUGUGCACACUCUAUUCGUUAUAUUAUACACCUGUGCACCUUUUGUAGUUCGGUUGUUACGGGGAGAGUCGAAAGGCUUUCUCAGACCCCCGUUCUAUGUUUUUAUUAUAAACCUUUGAAUGUCUUUGAAUGUCUGCAUUAAUAAUGCAUUUUAUACAACUUUCAGCAACGGAUCUCUUGGCUCUC
rnacentral:misc_RNA from 1 species